CAAUGCAUUAGAUGGCAUGGCUACCGGUACGUGACUGUGCUGCACAAGAUAUGUCACUUCUGAGAGGAAAACAGUUGAGUAUGAUCCUUAUCUCUUUGAUUCUGAUGAAGAACCUGUUGACAAAAGAAUCAAGAAAACAAAAGAGCCUGAGGAGAUUGUAGAAAACAGUUAUGGUGAUGGCAGUAGCAGUGUUGUAGAUCAAUUUCCGUCCUUACAAAAGUACAUAAGGUAAGCAGAUCUGCAAAUUUUCAUUUUGCU